GACGAACCGUGCGAACGUUGUUCGGAAUCACUGGGCUUAAAGGGCGCGUAGGCGGGCCGGCAAGUCAGGGGUGAAAUCCCACGGCUCAACCGUGGAAGUGCCUUUGAUACUGCGGGUCUGGAGGGAGGUAGGGGCGUGCGGAACUUCCGGUGGAGCGGUGAAAUGCGUAGAUAUCGGAAGGAACACCGGUGGCGAAAGCGGCGCGCUGGACCUCUACUGACGCUGAGGCGCGAAAGCCAGGGGGAGCAAACGGG
rnacentral:rRNA from 1 species